UUUAAAGUUUAAUACUUUCUUUAGAAGUUAAUUUUAUCUUAUAAUAUAUGUAUAUUUUUUUUAUAGAGUAUUAUUUUUCAAUAUUGGAAAUUAAUUAUGAGGUUAUUCCUUAAUUAGUAAUUAUAUUUAGUACUAACAAAAUUUGUGCCAGCAGUUGCGGUUAUACUAAUAGUACAAUUAAGUUAUUUUGGUUAUGAAAAUGUGUAAAUUUUAUAUAUUAUUCUAAUUUUGAGGUGAAAUUUAAAUUAGUUUAUUUUUAUAUAUUUAUUCAAUUCAGGAAAUUAAUAUAUAAACUAGGAUUAGAUACCCUAUUAUUAAAACUUAAUUGUUAUACCAUAUUAAUAUUAGCUAAGGUCUUGAAAGUAAAAGUAUUUGGCGGUAUUUUAGUCUUUUCAGAGGAACCUGUUGUUUAAUUGAUAAUCCACGAUUAUACAAACUUUUUCUUUAAAUUUACAUAUCGUUGUAUAAAAUAUAUUCUAGGAUUAUAUUUUUAAUUUAAUAUUAUAUUAAAACUCAGAUCAAGGUGUAGUUUAUGUCAAAGUAUUAAUGGGUUACUUUUUCUAUAGAUUUGGAUUGUUAUAUUUUAAAUAUUCAUAAAUUUGGAUUUGAAAGUAAAUUUAAAUAUAUUUUUAUCUUGAUUUUAGCUCUAAAAUAUGUACAUAUCGCCCGUCGCUUUCGGAUAAGCUGAAAUAAGUCGUAACAAAGUAGAUUUACUGGAAAGUAAAUCUAGAUUUCA
rnacentral:ncRNA from 1 species